CCGCGAGGCGCUGGCCUGGGCCCUGGUCCCGUACUACCCGAUCGCCGACCGGAUCGUGCAGCCGGAAGGCUGCGAGCCCCGGAUCGAGUGCACCGGGGAGGGCAUCUAGUUCGUGGCCGCCUCCGCCAACUGCAGCCUCGCCGACGUCAACUAUCUGGAGCGCCCCAUGAUGCUCGAGCAGAACGACAUCCUACCCUACACCGAACUCGAGACCAGUCCUACCAAUACCUUGAUGAUGAUUCAGGUUACUAAGUUCACAUGUGGUGGGUUCCUCAUUGGUCUAAGGUUCAACCACGCAUCCGCUGAUGGCUUAGGAUCGGCACAAGUCAUUUCCGCCAUUGGUGACCUUACAUUCUGAAGAUUGAAAAGGGCUACUAUGGCAAUUCUGAAGAUACACAGUGGUAGGUGUUUUGUCCCAAUCACAAGCCGUCAAUCCAUUUUGAUCAAUAUAUCUAGUAGAAGUAAGCAUGCAUAUCGUUGUCUUCGAGGUCGGCUAGCUAUUUUGUGAUUUUUUUUGUUUUAAAUUUGAAUGUCACUAACUACUUUGAAAUAGAAAUAUUCAGUCUUUGUGUAUAAUUGAAUUCUCCUGUAAAUACUAAUACUUUGUAGUUGAAUUCUAUUGUUUGGUACGAGUUUGAAAU